rnacentral:tRNA from 1 species
GAAGGUGUGGCUCAGUGGUACAGUGCUCACCUCACACGUGUGAGACCAUGGGUUCGAUCCUUAGCACCACA